rnacentral:rRNA from 1 species
GAUGAACGCUGACAGAAUGCUUAACACAUGCAAGUCUUUGGCGAAGCUGUGCUUGCACAGCCUAGCCAAGGCGGACGGGUGAGUAACGCGUAAGGAACUUGCCCUGCAGUCAGGGAUAACAGACGGAAACGACUGAUAAGACCUGGUAAAGUCAGGCGGACUCAUGUCCAGCCUGAUGAAAAGAGAUGCUGCAGGAGAGCCUUGCGUCCUAUUAGCUUGUUGGUGGGGUAACGGCCCACCAAGGCGAUGUUAGGUAGCCGGCCUGAGAGGGUGGACGGCCACAAGGGGACUGAGAUACGGCCCUUACUCCUACGGGAGGCAGCAGUGGGGAAUAUUGGACAAUGGGGGCAACCCUGAUCCAGCAAUUCUGUGUGCACGAUGAAGGUUUUCGGAUUGUAAAGUGCUUUCAGCAGGGAAGAAAAAAAUGACGGUACCUGCAGAAGAAGCGACGGCUAAAUACGUG